ACUUGUGAACAUGUUAACUAAAAUAUGGGGUGGGGGGGUGUCUUUUUGGCACCUGCCUGCCCUGGAUGCCGGGCUGGGCCCCCUGUGAGCGGGGGGGCCACGCGCGGCGCCACAACGUAACCCCGGCGCCGGACGCGCCAAGGAAGAUGGAUAUGAAGAGUGCGCUCCCCCAUUGCUGGCUUUUGCUCCGGCAAUCGGGGGACAGCGUUGUGUCGUCAUCGGCACUGAUGACUCUCGGCAACGGAUAUCUCGGCUCUCGCAUCGAUGAAGAACGUAGCGAAAUGCGAUACUUGGUGUGAAUUGCAGAAUCCCGUGAACCAUCGAGUCUUUGAACGCAAGUUGCGCCCGAGGCCACUAAGGCCGAGGGCACGUCUGCCUGGGCGUCGCACAGAGCGUCACCCGACACCACACUAGUUCUCAGUGAGGUGCGGGUGGAGAAUGGCCUCCCGUGCUCGGCUGAAGUGCGGUUUGCCAAAAUUUGAAGCUCGGGGCAGCGAAUGCCGUGACAAUUGGUGGUAAAGCAUGUCCGACCGGCGAGCGGAAACGACAACUUGUGGCGGUGUUGCUGUCAUCCGUGCUCGUGUUGACC
rnacentral:rRNA from 1 species